rnacentral:misc_RNA from 1 species
GAAAUGCGAUAAGUAAUGUGAAUUGCAGAAUUCAGUGAAUCAUCGAAUCUUUGAACGCACCUUGCGCUCCUUGGUAUUCCGAGGAGCAUGCCUGUUUGAGUGUCAUUAAAUUCUCAACCUCACCGGUUUUCUGAACCGUUCUCCGAGGCUUGGAUGUGGGGGUUUGUGCAGGUCGCCUCAGCGCGGUCUGCUCCCCUGAAAUGCAUUAGCGAGAUUCAUUCUGGACCUCCGUCUAUCGGUGUGAUAAUUAUCUACGUCGUUGACUUGGUUCGGACUCGCUUCUAACCGUCCGCGAGGACAACAUACUUGACAAUUUGACCUCAAAUCAGGUAGGACUACCCGCUGAACUUAA